GCAGGUCCGGCCUCCAAUCAAGAGCUCCCAAACAACCCAGGAUACAUUUAACCUUAGGGAGGGUCAGAGUGCUGGUGGGUCGCUCCUGGGUUUGUGUAGCUUGGGUAGCCGAAUGUCAAAACUGCUGGGAUAGACGCCCACGCCACGCUGAGUUGUGUAUAUUUAUUGCCACUGGCUUUGAAAUAUUUAUGAGGCGUCAGGAAAUUCUGAAAGCUAUGCUUCCGGUUGCCCUGACCCCAGCUGGAGCCUGCAGCUGGAUCUGGGCGGUGGUCAUGCUGUGCUCUGCUUAUCUUGGGACGAGAAAUAAAGACGACUUCCUGAAAGCCUAAAAGUGAGUGCUACAGAAGAUUAUGAUCCCUCUACUUUGUACAAAGUGACUUUGUAGCAGUGGAAGAAACCUUAGCGACUGGAAAGGUGCAGUGAGCAAAGAUCAACAUUUGGCUUCAGAGUACCCGAAUUUAAACGGAAAUUUAAAUCUGGAAUUUAAUCUCUAGACAUUUUAUACCUGUAUAAUUAUACAAGUGGACACGAGAUGGCCUCUGAGGUCCCUUCCUGCUCUAAAUCUAUGAAACUAUGAUGACAUAAUCUCUUUGUUUCCCUACAGCUGUAGAUGUAUUAAUUAAUCAUUAUUAUGAUUAAUAUUGAAGGAAAGAAAACAAACAUUUAUUAAGGAUCUCUUAUACAGUGUACCAUGAUCUUUACGAAUAGUUUCUCAUUUGAUCUUCACAAUAACCCUGAGACAUAAGUGCUGUUAUUAACCUCAUUUUAUAGUUGGGGACAGAGGUUAAAUGAUUUUCGUAAAAUACACACCUAAUAAAUGUCUGAGGUCAAAUUGGAAUUCAAGCCUUCCUAACUCCAAAGCCAGCACUCUAGCCCUUGUACCGCCUAGCUGCCUCUAAUAAUGAAAGGGAUGCUAGCUAGAGAUAUUAUAGUCAUAUCAUACAAAAACUGGAAUAGAAUAUAUCAAUUUUAUUGACUCCCCUAGCUUUAGGAAGGUUACUCUUUUUAAAGAAUUCUGGAUAUAAAAAUACCCUAAUUUCCCUCGGUCAUACACAUCAUAAUGAUUCUUUGUUUUGUUUUGUUUUUGGCUGAGGCAAUUGAGGUUAAGUAACUUGCCCAGGGUCACACAACUAGGACAUGUUAAGUGUCUCAGACCAGAUUUGAAUUUAGGUCCUCUUGACUUAAGAGCUGGUGCUACAUUGCGCCACCUAGCUGCCCCUCAUAAUGAUUCUUUAAAAAAGAAAAGAAUUUUUUUUUUUUAAAUCUCGACUAUACAAUCUCUAACACCCCUUUCAGGGAGGUCUCCAAGACUGAAACUAUUUUCAUAAUAACACUAAGACAUGAUUAGCCUUUUUCACUCUCAUUUUCUCACGUGGAAAUUUUCAGAAGGUUUGUGGCCUGCAAAAAUAAAGCAGCAAACAUGAAGAGGGAGUUAAUAUCUUGCCUCAAUAUAUAUAAGCUACAAAAACAAAAGUUCUUUGAGAUCUUUGACUAUUUUUAAGGAUAUAAAGGAAUUCUGGUACCAAAAAAGUUUGAAAACCAGUAUUGUAAUGCUUUUAAGGAAUGCAAAAAUUUUUUUCCUCAUAACCUUUUUAGGAUAGUAUUAAUAAAGCCCUUCAUGGGAGGAAUUUAUGACCAAAGAACAUUAUAAAAGACAAAAUAAACAACUUUGAUAAUAUUAAAUUUAAAAGGUUUUGCACAAACAAAACCAACAGAAACAAGAUUAAAAGGAAAGUACAAAGCUUGGGGGAAAAUCUACAGCCAGUGUUUCUGAUAAAGGUCUCAUUUCUAAAAUUAUAUGUGUCAAAUUUAUAAGAAUACAAGUCAUUGCUCAGUUGAUAAAUGGUCAAAGGAUAUGAACAAAAUUUUAGAUGAACAAAAUUAAAUGCUCUAAAUCAUUAUUGAUUAGAGAAAUGCAAAUUAAAACAACCCUGAGGUACCACCUCACACCUCUCAAAUUGGCUAAAAUGACCGGAAAAGACAAUGAUAAAUGUUGGAGGGAAUGUAGGAGAACUGAAACAUUAAUGCAUUGUUGUGGGAAUCAUGAAAUUAUCCAACCAUUAUGAAGAGCAAUUUAGAAGUAUGCCCAAAGGGCUAUAAAACUGUGCAUACCCUUUGACCUAGCAGUGACACUACUGUACCAUGUGCAAAAAUGUUUUAGCAGCUUUUUUUGUGGCAGCAAAGAAUGGGAAAAUCCAUCGAUUGGGAAAUCAUGGAACAAGUUAUGGUAUAUGAAGAUAAUGGAAUAUUAUUGUUCUAUAAAAAAUGAUGAACAAGCUGAUUUUAGAAAGGUCUGGGAAGAUUUACAAGAACUGAUGCUGAGAUAAACAAGCAGAAUCAGGUAUACAUUGUACACAAUAACAGCAGUACACAAUAACAACAAUAACAAAGUACGAUGAGCAACUAUGAAACACUUGUUCUCAAUGGGUCAAUGAUCCAGUGCAAUCCCAAUAUAUUUUGGAUAGAAAGUUGCUCUCUGCAUCCAGAAAAAGACCUGUGGAGAUUGAAUGUAAAUCAACAAAUGCUAUCUUAACUCCUUUUUUUCUGUUGUUUUUUUUUUUUUCCUCUCUCCCAUGGUUUUUUUCCUUUUGUUCUGAUUUUUCUCUCCCAUGAUUCCUAAAGCAAUGUGUGUUAAAAAUACAUAAAAAUAAAGCCCUUCAUAACCUA